rnacentral:misc_RNA from 1 species
GAUGAAGAACGCAGCGAAAUGCGAUACGUAAUGUGAAUUGCAAAUUCAGUGAAUCAUCGAAUCUUUGAACGCACAUUGCGCCCCAUGGUAUUCCGUGGGGCAUGCCUGUACGAGCGUCAUUUACCCCCUCAAGCUCCGCUUGGUGUUGGGCGUCUGUCCCGCUUCGCGCGCGGACUCGCCCCAAAGGUAUUGGCAGCGGUCGUGCCAGCUUCUCGCGCAGCACAUUGCGCUUCUCGAGGCACCGGUGGGCCCGCGUCCAUCAAGCUCACCCCCCCAGUUUGACCUCGGAUCAGGUAGGGAUACCCGCUGAACUUAAGCAUAUCAAUAAGCGGAGGA